AGUGAACGCUGGCGGUAGGCCUAACACAUGCAAGUCGAACGGCAGCACAGGAGAGCUUGCUCUCUGGGUGGCGGGUGGCGGACGGGUGAGGAAUACAUCGGAAUCUACUCUGUCGUGGGGGAUAACGUAGGGAAACUUACGCUAAUACCGCAUACGACCUACGGGUGAAAGCAGGGGACCUUCGGGCCUUGCGCGAUUGAAUGAGCCGAUGUCGGAUUAGCUAGUUGGCGGGGUAAAGGCCCACCAAGGCGACGAUCCGUAGCUGGCCUGAGAGGAUGAUCAGCCACACUGGAACUGAGACACGGUCCAGACUCCUACGGGAGGCAGCAGUGGGGAAUAUUGGACAAUGGGCGCAAGCCUGAUCCAGCCAUACCGCGUGGGUGAAGAAGGCCUUCGGGUUGUAAAGCCCUUUUGUUGGGAAAGAAAUCCAGCUGGCUAAUACCCGGUUGGGAUGACGGUACCCAAAGAAUAAGCACCGGCUAACUUCGUGCCAGCCGCCGCAGUAA
rnacentral:rRNA from 1 species